rnacentral:rRNA from 1 species
GCAGUAGCCGCGGUAACACGUAUGUCGCGAGCGUUAUCCGGAAUUAUUGGGCAUAAAGGGCAUCUAGGCGGCCUGACAAGUCAGGGGUGAAAACCUGCGGCUCAACCGCAGGCCUGCCUUUGAAACUGUGAGGCUGGAGUACCGGAGAGGUGGACGGAACUGCACGAGUAGAGGUGAAAUUCGUAGAUAUGUGCAGGAAUGCCGAUGAUGAAGAUAGUUCACUGGACGGUAACUGACGCUGAAGUGCGAAAGCCGGGGGAGCGAACAGGAUUAGAGACCCGUGUAGUCCCUGUCUCUUAUAC